GCCCCCCUGGCGAAAUUGGCAGACGCGCAGACUUCAGGAGUCUGUGAGAGCAAUCUCAUAGAGGUUCAAAUCCUCUGGGGGGCACCA
rnacentral:tRNA from 1 species